rnacentral:rRNA from 2 species
UACGUAGGGGGCAAGCGUUGUCCGGAAUUACUGGGCGUAAAGGGCGUGUAGGCGGUUUUUUAAGUCAGAUGUGAAAGUUCGGGGCUCAACCUCGGAAUUGCAUUUGAAACUGGAGAACUUGAGUACUGGAGAGGUAAGUGGAAUUCCUAGUGUAGCGGUGAAAUGCGUAGAUAUUAGGAGGAACACCAGUGGCGAAGGCGACUUACUGGACAGAUACUGACGCUGAGGCGCGAAAGCGUGGGGAGCGAAC